rnacentral:rRNA from 1 species
UACAGAGGGGGCAAGCGUUGUUCGGAAUUACUGGGCGUAAAGGGCGCGUAGGCGGCCCGCUAAGUCGAACGUGAAAUCCCUGGGCUCAACCCAGGAACUGCGUCCGAUACUGGCGGGCUUGAAUCCGGGAGAGGGAUGUGGAAUUCCAGGUGUAGCGGUGAAAUGCGUAGAUAUCGUGAGGAAGACCAGUUGCGAAGGCGACUCUCUGGGCAAUUCCUGACACUGAGGCACGAAGGCCAGGGGAGCAAACGGG